ACGGGUGAGUAACGCGUGGGAAUCUACCGUACCCUACGGAAUAGCUCUGGGAAACUGGAAGUAAUACCGUAUACGCCCUAACGGGGAAAGAUUUAUCGGGGUAUGAUGAGCCCGCGUUGGAUUAGCUAGUUGGUGGGGUAAAGGCCUACCAAGGCGACGAUCCAUAGCUGGUCUGAGAGGAUGAUCAGCCACAUUGGGACUGAGACACGGCCCAAACUCCUACGGGAGGCAGCAGUGGGGAAUAUUGGACAAUGGGCGCAAGCCUGAUCCAGCCAUGCCGCGUGAGUGAUGAAGGUCUUAGGAUUGUAAAGCUCUUUCACCGAUGAAGAUAAUGACGGUAGUCGGAGAAGAAGCCCCGGCUAACUUCGUGCCAGCAGCCGCGGUAAUACGAAGGGGGCUAGCGUUGUUCGGAAUUACUGGGCGUAAAGCGCACGUAGGCGGGUAUUUAAGUCAGGGGUGAAAUCCCGCAGCUCAACUGCGGAACUGCCUUUGAUACUGGGUAUCUUGAGUAUGGAAGAGGUAAGUGGAAUUGCGAGUGUAGAGGUGAAAUUCGUAGA
rnacentral:rRNA from 1 species